rnacentral:tRNA from 1 species
AUAGCAGAUAACUCAGUUUCGGCCUGAAAAAAGACGCAUAGUCCUGCUUUU